UACGGGGGGGGCAAGCGUUGUUCGGAAUUACUGGGCGUAAAGGGCGCGUAGGCGGCCUUCUAAGUCGGACGUGAAAUCCCUCGGCUUAACCGAGGAACUGCGUCCGAUACUGAAAGGCUUGAAUCCGGGAGAGGGAUGUGGAAUUCCAGGUGUAGCGGUGAAAUGCGUAGAUAUCAGGAGGAACACCGGUGGCGAAGGCGGGUCUCUGGGCCGAUACUGACGCUGAGGAGCGAAAGCGUGGGGAGCGAACAGG
rnacentral:rRNA from 1 species